rnacentral:rRNA from 1 species
CCUACGGGUGACUGCAGUGAGGAAUAUUGGUCAAUGGCCGCAGGGCUGAACCAGCCAAGUCGCGUGAGGGAUGACGGUCCUAUGGAUUGUAAACCUCUUUUGUCAGGGAGCAAAGGGCGCCACGUGUGGCGCUUUGCGAGUACCUGAAGAAAAAGCAUCGGCUAACUCCGUGCCAGCAGCCGCGGUAAUACGGAGGAUGCGAGCGUUAUUCGGAUUUAUUGGGUUUACAGGGUGCGCAGGCGGAAUGUCAAGUCAGCGGUAAAAUUUCGGGGCUCAACCCCGUCGUGCCGUUGAAACUGGCGUUCUUGAGUGAGCGAGAAGUAUGCGGAAUGCGUGGUGUAGCGGUGAAAUGCAUAGAUAUCACGCAGAACUCCGAUUGCGAAGGCAGCAUACCGGCGCUCAACUGACGCUCAUGCACGAAAGCGUGGGUAUCGAACAGGAUUAGAUACCCGGGUAGUC